GGUUUGUUAAGUCAGAUGUGAAAGCCCCGAGCUUAACUUGGGAACUGCGUUUGAAACUGGCAAGCUAGAGUCUGUCAGAGGGGGGUAGAAUUCCACGUGUAGCAGUGAAAUGCGUAGAGAUGUGGAGGAAUACCAAUGGCGAAGGCAGCCCCCUGGGAUAAGACUGACGCUCAUGCACGAAAGCGUGGGGAGCAAACAGGAUUAGAUACCCUGGUAGUCCACGCCCUAAACGAUGUCAACUGGUUGUUGGGCAACUUGAUUGUUCAGUAACGAAGCUAACGCGAGAAGUUGACCGCCUGUUUUAGUACGGUCGCAAGAUUAAAACUCAAAGGAAUUGACGGGGACCCGCACAAGCGGUGGAUGAUGUGGAUUAAUUCGAUGCAACGCGAAAAACCUUACCUACCCUUGACAUGUACGGAAGUCUGCUGAGAGGUGGAUGUGCCUGAAAGGGAACCGUAACACAGGUGCUGCAUGGCUGUCGUCAGCUCGUGUCGUGAGAUGUUGGGUUAAGUCCCGCAACGAGCGCAACCCUUGCUAUUAAUUGCCAUCAUUAAGUUGGGCACUUUAAUAGGACUGCUGGUGAUAAACCGGAGGAAGGUGGGGAUGACGUCAAGUCCUCAUGGCCCUUAUGGGUAGGGCUUCACCCGUCAUACAAUGGCCGGUACAGAGGGAUGCCAACCCGCGAGGGGGAGCCAAUCUCAGAAAGCCGGUCGUAGUCCGGAUUGUUCUCUGCAACUCGAGAGCAUGAAGUCG
rnacentral:rRNA from 1 species